UACGGAGGGGGCAAGCGUUGUUCGGAAUUACUGGGCGUAAAGGGCUCGUAGGCGGCCUACUAAGUCAGACGUGAAAUCCCUCGGCUUAACCGGGGAACUGCGUCUGAUACUGGAUGGCUUGAGGUUGGGAGAGGGAUGCGGAAUUCCAGGUGUAGCGGUGAAAUGCGUAGAUAUCUGGAGGAACACCGGUGGCGAAGGCGGCAUCCUGGACCAAGACUGACGCUGAGGCGCGAAGGCGUGGGGAGCAAACAGG
rnacentral:rRNA from 1 species